GUUUAAACUUACAACAUUUUCGGAUUCAGGCAAAUUUUGAUCGUACUCGGAAAUUGACACCAAAAAUAUUAUAAGGUUUACAUUCUCGAAGCAAUGGAUCCAUUUCCUUCGUUCCGAAGGCUGUCCACCUACGUCAACCAUACUGCAAUUUAUUUGUUAGUAUUGGAUCGUAUUUGUUAU